rnacentral:rRNA from 1 species
GUGAGGAAUAUUGGUCAAUGGGCGUAAGCCUGAACCAGCCAAGUAGCGUGCAGGAUGACUGCCCUAUGGGUUGUAAACUGCUUUUAUGCGGGAAUAAAGUCAGGUACGUGUACCUGUUUGUAUGUACCGCAUGAAUAAGGACCGGCUAAUUCCGUGCCAGCAGCCGCGGUAAUACGGAAGGUCCGGGCGUUAUCCGGAUUUAUUGGGUUUAAAGGGAGCGCAGGCGGAAGAUUAAGCGUGACGUGAAAUGUCCCGGCUCAACCGUGGAACUGCGUCGCGAACUGGUUUUCUUGAGUGAGUGCGACGUCGGCGGAAUUCGUGGUGUAGCGGUGAAAUGCUUAGAUAUCACGAAGAACCCCGAUUGCGAAGGCAGCCGACGAGUCCUUAACUGACGCUAAAGCUCGAAAGUGCGGGUAUCGAACAGG